rnacentral:rRNA from 1 species
AGUCAUACGCUCGUCUCAAAGAUUAAGCCAUGCAUGUGUAAGUAUAAAUAGUUAACUUUGAAACUGCGAAUGGCUCAUUAUAUCAGUUAUAGUUUAUUUGAUGAAGAAUACUAAUUGGAUAACCGUAGUAAUUCUAGAGCUAAUACAUGUAUAAAGUCUUGUAGACUGCAUUUAUUAGAAUGAAAACCAUACGUUUCGGCCUAUUCGUGAGUAAUAAUAACUAAUCAUAUCGUAUGCUUAUGUAACGAUGUGUCUUUCAAGUUUCUGCCCUAUCAGCUUUCGAUGGUAGUGUAUUGGACUACCAUGGCAGUAACGGGUAACGAAGAAUUUGGGUUCGAUUUCGGAGAGGGAGCCUGAGAGAUGGCUACCUCAUCCAAGGAAGGCAGCAGGCGCGUAAAUUACCCAAUCCUGACACAGGGAGGUAGUGACAAUAAAUCACAAUGCGGAACAAUGUUUUGCAAUUGGAUUGAGAACAACGUACAAACCUUAUCGAUAAACAAUUGGAGGGCAAGUCUGGUGCCAGCAGCCGCGGUAAUUCCAGCUCCAAUAGCGUAUAUUAA